UCUCCUUUCCCCCGCCAUUGUGUGCACUACAUCUGAUUCGGCUUCUCGCCAUGUCUUCUCUAAAGACUUUCAGAAUCAAGCGAUUCCUGGCCAAGAAACAAAAGCGAAAUCAUCCUGUUCCUCAGUGGAUCUGGAUGAAGACUGGUAACAAAAUCAGGUACAGCUCUAAGAGAAGACAGAGAAUGAAGCUGCAUCUGUAAGGAUUCACACAAUGGCAAGGCUGAAGGUUUAUACUGAACCAUGGUCAUCAAUCAGUUCUACCAGAUGGAAUUCAACAUUUUUAACCUGAAGGCUUGCUCAUGUCUAAAUUAGGCUGUUUGCCCAGUAAUAAAAUUUAGAACCUUU